UACGUAUGGUGCGAACGUUGUUCGGAAUCACUGGGCGUAAAGAGCACGUAGGCGGUUAAGCAAGUCCAUUGUGAAAUCCCCCGGCCUAACCGGGGAACUGCAUUGGAUACUACUUGACUUGAGUGCAGGAGAGGAGAGUGGAAUUCCAGGUGGAGCGGUGAAAUGCGUAGAUAUCUGGAGGAACGCCGGCGGCGAAAGCGACUCUCUGGUCUGUAACUGACGCUGAGGUGCGAAAGCUAGGGGAGCAAACGGG
rnacentral:rRNA from 1 species